rnacentral:rRNA from 1 species
CCUACGGGUGGCAGCAGUGGGGAAUAUUGGGCAAUGGGCGCAAGCCUGACCGAGCAACGCCGCGUGAAGGAAGAAGGCUUUCGGGUUGUAAACUUCUUUUCUCAGGGACGAAGAAAGUGACGGUACAUGAGGAAUAAGCCACGGCUAACUACGUGCCAGCAGCCGCGGUAAUACGUAGGUGGCAAGCGUUAUCCGGAUUUACGGGGUGUAAAGGGCGGGUAGGCGGGACUGCAAGUCAGAUGUGAAAACCACGGGCUCAACCUGUGGCCUGCAUUGGAAACUGGAGGUCUUGAGUACUGGAGAGGCAGACGGAAUUCCUAGUGUAGCGGUGAAAUGCGUAGAUAUUAGGAGGAACACCAGUGGCGAAGGCGGUCUGCUGGACAGCAACUGACGCUGAGGCGCGAAAGCGUGGGGAGCAAACAGGAUUAGAUACCCCUGUAGUC